GGCCUGUAUAGCAACCGGCGCACGGCGCCUUCCGCGGGUUGUGACAUUUAGUCUUUACUAUUUGCCCUACCAGAAUGUUUUGAUCUUGUCAAGAUGUGUUAUAAACAAAUAUUUGUUACGGGAUUUUAAUCCUUUGGGGGCAGGAUUAAAGUUUCCUUGAGAGGAUGUCCACUUUCUCCUUUAACAGCAUGACCGAUGCUUAAAUACGGUCGCAGAUGCAGUCUUCUACUACACCUUUGGGUUGAUUUUUGAUUUUUUCUUUUUUUUUUUAGCUUUGAAGAGAAAUGCCGUAGAAGCAUGGACGUGGCUUUUCACCAAGGUUAUUCACUAAUUUAAGUGUUUUUUUUAAUUUUAUUUUAUUUUAUUUUAUUUUUUGAGACAGGUACUCACUCUGUCUCCCAGGCCGGAGUGCAAUUAUCUGUACAAUUGAUAAUCUAUAAGAUGGUCCAACCUGCGUAACAGAGUGAGAUUCCGUCUCAAAAAAAAAAAAAAAAAAGAAAGAAAAAAGGCCGGGCGCGGUGGCUCACACCUGUAAUCCCAGCCCUUUGGUAAGCGAAGGCGGUUGGAUCACUUGAGGUCAGGAGUUCAAGACCAGCCUGGCCAACGUGAUGAAAUCCCAUCUCUACUAAAAAUACAAAAAUUAACCGGACAUGGUGGUGGGAGCCUGUAAUCCCAGGUACUCGGGAGGCUGAGGCACGAGAAUCGCUUGUACCCGGGAGGCAGAGGUUGCAGUGAGCCGCGAUCGCGCCGCUGCACUCCAGCCCUGGCGACAGAGUGAGACUCUCAAAAAAAAAGAAGAACAAAAAAAGGAUAAAUCGAUAAGAUGGGAUCCACAAUGACGUGAAAGAAGCUAAGGAAAAUCUGGAACAUUAUACAGCAUCUACAAUUAGCUUCAGAGAAAAGAAAGGUUUUAUUACCAUCCUUUGUUAAAACCCUCCCCCAUGGUCUAAAUGAAUAAACAGAAGCCAUUUAAGGGACUAUUUAAAUCAAUUCUGCCAUUUAUUGUCUAUGUUGACAUUGGCAUUGUUAGGUGUUAUGCAGAUGUCAUGAACUUUGCUCUCAACCUGUUUACAUUAUUACAUAUCUAUCAGAAUGAGAGAGAAAAAAUGGUAUUUGCCAAAGUAUUAAAUUUUGCAUUAAACGAUGGCUAUAAUGAGGAUAGGAAAUGGAAUGAUUAGAAAUAUAUAGAGUUAACAGAAAACUUUAUGGAGGAAAUGGGUUUUAAUGUACAUCUCAAAAGCAUUGAUUCCUAGAAUAAUAAUAAUUUGUCCAAUGAAUAGCUAAUUCCCUCUACCAAACUAUAUUUUGUAUUUUUGUUGCUUUUCCUCCUUAGCAGCAAGCGCAGUGGAAGCAAGACAAGAAAGCUAAUACUAGCUUCAGAUUUCCUGGAAGGAGGAAGAGCACGUGACGAGAGGGGCAGCUAAUAGCAGUAGUUCAGGUGCUUUUCACAUUCACUUAUAAAAUGGUUCUUUGAGUUCAAAUUUUUAACAGCCCAGAGAAGAAAACUCACUUUUUUUCUUUUUUCUUUUGAGACAGAAUCUCACUCUGUCACCCAGGCUGGGGUGCAGUGGAAUGAUCUCAGCUCACUUCAACCUGCGCCUUCCAGGUUGAAGCAACUCUCCUGCCUCAGCCUCCCAAGUAGCUGAGAUUACAGGCAUGCACCACCAUGCCAAACUAAUUUUUGCAUUUUUAGUAGAGACAGGGUUUUGCCAUGUUGGCCAGGCUAGUCUCGAACUCCUGGCCUCCAGCGAUCCGCCCACCUUGGCCUCCCAAAGUGCUGGAAUUACAGGCCUGAGCCACUGUGCCUGGCCUACAUUUUACUUUUUUGAUAAUUCCACUCAUUUCAUUCAUUCUGACCAUUUAGGAAGUAAGGUGUAUUUUCUGUAUAAUAGUGUUUCCCAUUAUUCAUUGGGAAUAUCUAACCAUAACAUUAAUUUUGUGACCCUAAUUUUAUUUGCUUCAUUCUUUCUCUGCAACGGCAGCUUUACUUAUGUCUAAUCCAAACAUAUUUGUAUCACUCCCCCAUAUAUUCUAAUAAGUCAUUCGGUAUACACGUAAGCAUAUAGCUGGCAAUAUGUGGAAAUCCAGCAAAAACUUGGACAUAAGAAAAAUAUAGAUACCCUUGGAAAGUUAAGCUUAAAAAAAUAAGUUGCAAUUACCAAUGACACAAUCUUCUUUCUUGGCAACAUUUCUGGUGAAAAGCUACUUGAUAUUUUUAUAAGAAUGUCAUAGAUUUACUCAAAAUACAUUCAGCUGCGUAAAUAAAAUGUCCUCAGCCUUUGGUCAUUAGAAGGGAAAACCCUAGAUGUAGACCGAUUUGGUAAACUGUGCUGCAAUAAUUUAAACAGUUCCUUUAAGUUUGGGUUAAACCAGUCAGUCCCUCUCAGUGGGCUUCCCUCAGAAUGGCAUUUGGGAGAAGGGAAGGGAGGAUGAUGGGUAGCUGACAUGAACUCAAGGCACUAUAGGGGAAUCUGGCUCCUGAAAUCUGCAAGUUCUCUUUUGCAUUUUUGCCGGAUUUUCUUUAGCCAGACUAAUUUUCUCUGCUCCUUGAGAUGUAAUGUGUCCUGGGUGUUCUCUUGCUGAAACUUGCUGAUGAAGAUUGCUCGGACCUGUCUCUCAGCUGGGCCAAGGCCCUGAGAUAUGUCCUAGCUUCACCAACACUGUAAAACCUUCUGAUUCCUGCCACGAUCACCUUCCAAUUCCUUAACCCUCAACAUGGCAGGCUCCUUAGCAGGCUCUCUGGCUCUCAACACAACUACUGUCUAUGACAUCCUUUGUGGUUCUCCCUCUGGUUCUGAACAGCCUGUAAGGCCAUGUGCUUCCAGGGCACACACUCCAACCCAUCUAAACCACCUUUCCCCCCCAGAAUGAAGCCCCUACUUUGUUUCUUCUCCUACAGUCUCUUGGAUUAGAAGGAAUGGACUUUUCCCCUUGCCACUUCUUGCUGAUUGGGUGCUCUAAAACUCUCCAGUCAAGACCAGGCGUGGUGGAUCAUGCUCCUAAUCCCAGCACUCUGGGAGGCCGAGGCAGGCAGAUCACUUGAGGUCAGGAGUUCGUGACCAGCCUGGACAACAUGGCGAAACCUGUCUCUACUAAAAUACAAAAAUUAACCGGGCAUGGUAUGCAUGCCUAUAGUCCCAGCUACUCCAGAGGCUGAGGCAGAAGAGUGGCUUGAACCCAGGAGGCAGAAGUUGCAGUGAGCUGAGAUGGCACCACUGCUCUCCAGCCUGGGUGACAGAGCGGGACUCUGUCUCAAAAAAUAAAAAAUCAAAAUAAGUAAAUAAAACUCUCCAGUCAAGUUCGAUGGAUCUUGAUAUGCAAAAGAGAAAAAUAAAAUAAUUUAGAAUACUGAUUUCUUGACAAGGCCUGG
rnacentral:lncRNA from 1 species